rnacentral:lncRNA from 10 species
GAAAGCUGCUGGCAGCCAGCCCGUGUGCAAGGGGAGCAGAGAGAAGGCUCAUUCCAGUGAAGUCACAGAAUUACGGUAGCCUAAAGGGCACACGAAAGGCCAGUGAUCAUUGCCUCCAAUUAACAUUUGUUAAUACCAGGGGAAGAAAUGCCGCAGAGGAAGCUUCCAACGGCAGGCGAUUUCUCCACCUCAACCCAGUCCAAGUGCACAGAGAAGUAAGGAUUCCAGGGACCCUGGCGACCUUGGGAACAGGUGCCAGAAUGAGACUGAGAAACCCUGACCCAACCCUUCCUCCUGGAGAUUCCUCAUCCAUGAAAUUGUCAGGCUGGAAAUGUCUCUGAGACUCUGUGUCUAACCACCUAGAAAACCUUCAGUGUCCUUUGAUAGCAUUUGAUAGAAUUUGAUAGCAUUCAACAAAUACGUGAAAACCUCCAAUGUACCAGCCUCAGGGAUAAACUAAACAGGCCUCAAGAAUGUGACCUCCCACGCUCCUCCAUGAACAGCUCUCUCCCUGCGUCCCAGCAACCAAAGACACUUGUUGAUUUGGGAAAAACCCAGAGGAAGGAUUCUGUCUGGAUUUUCUGGUACCACUGACGCAUUUUCACCCAGGCACAUUCAUCUGGUUCAAGACUGAAUCUUUCCCUUUUUCAUGAAACAGAUUCUCCCCCUCUUUUAAGCCUCUGUGGGCUCCAGAAUGAGUUGAACCGCUGUAUCUUCUCAUCACAGCGUUUCCCUCUUUGGACAUGGGCUGAGACACACAGAUUUCACGACUUCCUCUUUGGAGAAGGCAUGAAAGGACCUGCAGCCACGGCCCCAUACGUUUCAAGAGAGGCAAGGCUUUCACCCUCCGUGUCUUUCACAGCCAUCCGCCCACAGCCUCUUAACUUCCUGACAUUAAACAAAAACGAAACCGAGGUUUCCCUAAUUGGGGAUCAUCAUCAAGAAUCUGUCAUGGGGUCUCUUAGAAAUUAAUUCAACUCGAUUGUUCUUCAGACCUCCGCUAAGGAGCCGGCGUGUUACUCUCGACACCAACUUGUCCCAUCUUCAUCCUAUAUUAGCUCCCUAACAGGGUUGCACGAUCAGCUCCUAGGCUGCAAAUUAGAAAAAUGGGCGAUGAUUCCAGCAGCUACGCCUCGGCACUCUCACGCCGGAUUACUGUGAUGGUCUCCUUGCAAGGCUUCCGGAUCUUUCUAUGUGGGUUGAAAUUGGUUCCAACUGUAACUUCCUGUUGAUCUCCCACCCUGAAUUCCCUCAUUGAUGCAACAUUUUGUUAAAAAAGAACUUCACCGAAUUACCCAUUUCAUGGAAAUUGCAAUAGGGUAUUGACUUGUAUAGUUAAUGAAGCUUUCAAAAAAGCACUCCUGUAGCCAUCAUCUAAAUGCCCCUCUGGCCACCAAAACUGUGCAUGUAAUUCACUGUAGUGAGGAUUCCUGAGUCUCCCUAAGGGAGAUCCAGUAGGAUCAGUUCUGGGUGGGAUCCGUCAGCAAACACAACCUAUUGCCCGCCUCCUUCUGGUUUCCAGUCCCGGGGGGUAAUUGAUGUCUUAGUGCACACAGAGCCGGACCAUGGAGCUAAGUAGAUAUGGGUUUCCAACUCAUCCCGGCCACUUCCCAGGGGCAUGUCCAGGGGCAAGUUAGUAACUCUCUUGAACCUCAGUUUCCUCAUCUGCAGAGUGUGGAUCAUCACAAACCUACCUUCUGGGGUUGCUAGGGGAUUAAAGGAGAUAAGGAGCAUAGCAGGGCUGGCCCUGUGCCUGCCUGGAGUGGGCACCAAGCUGACUUCGCUGGGGCUCUCCCGGCCCCACAUACCUGCAAUGGUUUUGCCUUUGGCUCGAUGUCUGAAGCCUUUGCAUUUCUGAAGGGAGUGAUGUAAAUCAAGCCAUGCUUAUGAUUAAAAACAUCCAACGUUCAGCUCAGUUGUUUGUCCUAUUUUGGCAACAUCCUAUUCUUUUGUUGUUGCUGUUUUUGAGAUAGGAUCUUGCUCUGGGGCCCAGACUGGAGUGCAGUGGUACAAUCAUGGCUCACUGCAGCCUCAACCUCCUGGGCUCAAGUGAUCCUCCUGCCUCAGCCUCCCGAGUAGCUGGGACUAUAGGUGUUCACCACCAUGCCUGGCUAGUUUUUUAAUUUUAAUAGAGAUGAGGUCUCAUUAUGUUACCCAGACUGAUUUCAAACACCCAGGCUCAAGUGAUCCUCCCACCUCAGCCUUCCAAAGUGCUGCCAUUACAGGUAUGAGCCACCACACCUGGCCAACCUUCUCCUCUUAUCUGUGGGAAACCUUGGGGCAUUACUGAAGAAAAAAUUGUGAUGUCCAAAUCCUGCACUGUACCCCAGUGCAAGGUGGUAGGUGUUGAAGUAGAAAAUGAUAAGACGUAAAUCGUCAGCAAAAGCCAAAGAGAGAGGUAAAAAAUGUAUGAGCACUAAAUGAAUUGAUUUUCAUAAAAUUAGCGUUAUACUGUAUAAUAAUGUUUCCCAAUAUAAAGUCUUUUUCAUAUUAAUAUUUAUAACAUUGUAAAGAUUAAAUCAUACCUUUGUGAUUAUUUUAAUUUUUUUUAACCUUAUU